rnacentral:rRNA from 1 species
GACGAACCGUGCGAACGUUGUUCGGAAUCACUGGCUUAAAGGGCGCGUAGGCGGAGCACAUGGUGGAUACUCGCGCACACGGAGAACGCCCCCGAGUACUGGCGAUCUCGAGGCGGGGUAGGGGCGUGCGGAACACUGGGGUGGAGCGGUGAAAAUGCGUUUUGAUAUCGCUUUUGGAAACGCCGACGGUGAAAACAGGUCGGCUGGGGAAAAUGUGCCGACGCUGAGACACGAAAAGCCCCAGGGGAGCAAAAGCGGGGAUUUU